CGAAGGGUGCAAGCGUUACUCGGAAUCACUGGGCGUAAAGCGUGCGUAGGCGGUUCGUUAAGUCUGCUGUGAAAGCCCUGGGCUCAACCUGGGAACUGCAGUGGAUACUGGCGGGCUAGAGUGUGAUAGAGGAUGGUGGAAUUCCCGGUGUAGCGGUGAAAUGCGUAGAGAUCGGGAGGAACACCAGUGGCGAAGGCGGCCAUCUGGAUCAACACUGACGCUGAGGCACGAAAGCGUGGGGAGCAAACAGGAUUAGAUACCCUGGUAGUCCACGCCCUAAACGAUGCGAACUGGACGUUGGUUGCAACUUGGCAAUCAGUGUCGAAGCUAACGCGUUAAGUUCGCCGCCUGGGGAGUACGGUCGCAAGACUG
rnacentral:rRNA from 1 species